rnacentral:tRNA from 1 species
GGGUGUAGCCAAGCGGUAAGGCAGCGGACUUUGACUCCGCCAUUCGCAGGUUCGAAUCC